UACGUAGGGUGCGAGCGUUAAUCGGAAUUACUGGGCGUAAAGCGUGCGCAGGCGGUUCGCUGUGUCCGAUGUGAAAGCCCCGGGCUUAACCUGGGAAUGGCAUUGGAAACUGGCGGGCUUGAGUGCGGCAGAGGGGGGUGGAAUUCCGCGUGUAGCAGUGAAAUGCGUAGAGAUGCGGAGGAACACCGAUGGCGAAGGCAGCCCCCUGGGUCGACACUGACGCUCAGGCACGAAAGCGUGGGGAGCAAACAAG
rnacentral:rRNA from 1 species